rnacentral:lncRNA from 1 species
CCUUUCCCUUUUCUCUCCCAUGAAGUGAUAAAGAUAAAGCUUGUUGGAAACAGUCCUGAGUGAAAACCAACCCAUGAUGCUUGCUGCAAAGUCCACUGGGGAAGAGGAUCUGAGGGCCCCCGAGGAGACGGCUGGCAGAUCCCAGCAGACUCACAUGGCUUCCACGCAGCUCAGCCUUGCUGGGGACAGGGCUGGUAUCAACUUCUCCUGUCAUUUCAACAGCAGGAUCCAGCUGCAUUUGGAGCUAACUGCAUCUCAUUUGUUUACAAGGUUCUGCAUCUCAUCUGGCAGAGACUGUCCUGGAGACGUGAACACCCCGCUGUGAAUGUCCUGCCUGUUGGAGGAUGCUGUGCCACAUAGCCCUCUCUCCUUCCACUGAGACUGCUCUUGCUAAUGGAACCCCCAGGGUGAGAGCCUGGCGCCCGGGGUGUUUCCAUUCUUGCUCUUCCAGCAGAAGAAGCCUGUGCGGUGUGGAUCCAACGAGCAGUGCAGUGAGUCAGCUUAAAACAGCAUCAACCCAGGGCUUAAAACAUGAGCAUGAACACAAGCUGCCUUUUUCCUGGACCAUCUGGGGGGCAGACAACGGAAACCCACUUCCUAAACUGACGGUGAAGCUCCUAAAAAACUGAGCAAGAGACCCAGGUGGAGGCCGGAACAAAGCCCCAGGGUCAUCAGAAGAGCAUUUUGUCAUCCAACAACGACAAGAAGCCUUGUAAUGCUGUUUUAUAAAACACUUCCACAGGGAUCAAUUUAUUGGAUCUUCACAACUUUGGGGGCAGAUAAUUAUCAUUCCCAUUUUACAACCUGAUGAACUGAAGCUCCCAGAGGAAUAAGAAACUUGUCCAACAUCAAACAGAAGACCAGGACUAGGGUGAGAUGAGGGAGGCACUUGCCUCUGGCCUGAAAUAUAAGGGGCACCAAAAAACUCAGUAAUCAAGGUAAAUAUUUUAAUACAGUAUUAAAGUAUCAAAAUGAGUGCAAAAAAUUCUUCAUGAGCAAAAUAUCCAAAAUCUAAAUCCAGACAGGAUCAGUACUGUUUUCUCCUUUGACGUCAGGCUCCAAUAUGGCUCAGCACAGUACAGGGUACAGAUACC